GGAAACAAAGAGAAUUACUAACUGGGUGCCACGAUUCGUCAUUCUCGACAUGCCCAUGGUUCUGAUGAUGUGUCCUGUGGCUAAUUCUCCUGCAGCAUUCAUUCAUCCAAAAGCAAAUCCAUGAAAUAUGAAACAAUCCAAAGUUCACCC